rnacentral:tRNA from 1 species
CAAAGGGUAGUUUAUUAAAAUAUUAAUUUUGGAGAUUAAUGAUAAGGUGUUUUUCUUUUCCUUUGA